rnacentral:rRNA from 1 species
AGUGAACGCUGGCGGUAGGCCUAACACAUGCAAGUCGAACGGCAGCACAGUAAGAGCUUGCUCUUACGGGUGGCGAGUGGCGGACGGGUGAGGAAUACAUCGGAAUCUACUUCUUCGUGGGGGAUAACGUAGGGAAACUUACGCUAAUACCGCAUACGACCUACGGGUGAAAGCAGGGGAUCUUCGGACCUUGCGCGAUUGAAUGAGCCGAUGUCGGAUUAGCUAGUUGGCGGGGUAAAGGCCCACCAAGGCGACGAUCCGUAGCUGGUCUGAGAGGAUGAACGGGUACAGUGGGACUGAGAGACGGCCGCGACUCACAGGGGAGGGAGAAGGGGGGAAGAGGGCAGAAUGGCCGGAAGGCGGAGAAAGAAACGCAGCGGGCGGGAUGCCGGCCGUCGUGUGGGAAACAGAGGUAGCCGGGGAAGAAGAGUGAGUGACGGGAAGGGGUAAAAAAGAAACGGCUAACGAAGUG